UAGCUCUCUUUCUCUCCCCUUCUGUCCCUCCCUCCCUCUUUCUGUCUGUUCUGCCACCUUCUCUACUCGGCGAUCAGCAUUUGGCUUUUUCCAUUUGUGGCAGAUUACUGUAACGCUAUUGUACAACAACUUCCUGCCUCUUUUGGCUCUGGUUCUAAAAACUGCAAAGGCAGAGCUCGUGGCUUUAACUUUUUCCCCCCUCGGCCUUGAACUACAGGAGCUCUAUGAGGGAAGAAAAGGAGGAAGGGGAUAUGUAAAGUGUAUCUGUUACUGAGGAACUAUUUUGAUUUCAUUUCUGCUUUAUAAACUGCUGAGAAUUAAAGAGGGCAAGAGGGGACUACAUGCCUAAGCAGAGACAAUGAGAGAAAAAAGGAUUCUGAAGGAAGAAGAGGAGGAAGGGAGACACAGAGAGAAAAAGAGCAAAGGAGAGCUUAUCCUGGGAAUAAGCUGGAAAUUAUGGACCUAUUCGAUAUCAGACCUCAGAGUGGACAACCUAUCCUAGGAGGGACGCGCCCUAACUGUAACUAACAACUACUUCUGGCAACCCCUCAACAGCCAGACAUAUUGUCCUGGAUCAGGGCCGCUUUCGUAUGGCAGCACCGAACGAGGGCAGCUCAGGCAGGAAAUCCACAUCCAGCCACAGCAUCAACAAUAUUGAGAAUAAAACAAUGCAUUAAAAGGAAAUUCAAGCAUUGUUUUUUAGAUUUAGUUUGAACUGUAAACUGUGAUCCUUUUAAGAUUUUUCUCAUCAAACUUUAAACAUAAAUAGGUAAUGCAAAGUAGAGGAAAAUAAAUCAACUACGAUUUUCAGACUACACAGUGGAGUUUGCACAGAUUUACUUAUUUUUUUUAAAUGCUAUUAUUACCAACUUAAAUGUUUCUUCGUACUUUUUUAAAAAAAUACUGUGACAUUACAAGCCCAAAAUGAAAUGCUGACACACAUGGUGUGCUGAUUUAAUCCCACACUACAAGGCUGCAGAUGACAAAACUACAUUAAAGCAGAAGCAAACAUAUUGUUUAAAUUAAUAUGUAAGAAAUCAAACUUUAAAAAAAAAAAAAAAAUCUAAUUGAAAACUCUUUUUACUGAUGAUUUAUUAGUUGUAACACCAGUGUUGUUACGGAAAUCACGAGACAUUUCAGUGUAGUAAAAGCCCUGUACAUGUCAGACACAUUGGCACUGAGUAUAAUCUGAUGUUAGAGAAACUGCACUGUGAGAAGACUGAUCUGCGGCACCACGUUUAACUGAGGUGCCGGGACAAAUUCUCAAAAGUCAAUGACACGUAAUAAUAAUAAUAAAAAAGUACAUUCUCCUUCUCUGUCCACUUGACUAGCUGUGUCGCACUUCUACAUACCUGAACUCUCCCCAUUGCAGUUUUCCCCCCUGAGGGCUGCUAGUACCUACUUUAAACAGCCUUGGCCAUUUCGUUUUUAUCCUUCCUCAUCACUAAGCCAAGAGUGUGCAGCCCUGGCAUUUUAGGGGCCACGUCACAACGCCUGUGUCUGCGCCGCAGGGCUGCAAGGAGUCCAGCAGCUGAGCCAUACGCACUCAGCGGUUCACUGCCUCAACCAACACUUUCUGCGUGCUGUUUUGUUAUCUCACACACUCCGUCUAGCAUCCUUGCUCGACUGAGAACAGCAAAACAUGCACCUAAUACGCUUUAUCCAAUUCACAAACGUGCUCUCCUCCUUCAGAGAGCCCCUGAGCCUGCAGCCCUCGAGUCGCUUCGCAGCACUUCCUAACAUCUGAUUACCACAACGAUAUUAGCUUAGGUGCACAACAGCUUCACUCGAAGACAACAAGUAAGGAAGGAAAUAUUCCAUACGCUUGUCCAAUUCCCAAUUCAGCAAUGCUAUUUAAUGAGCUUCAUAUCUGUUUCAAACUUUCUGCAGAGUAAAUGCGGCACCCUAUAAAAGGCGACACACUAUAAGCCCUGAUAUUGAUUCGAAAGUGGCACAAAUAAAAACACUGAUUACACAGAUUCCACUUGUGCUGACAGCCUAUAAUUGAUAUGUGUAAUGCUAUUAGCAGGAGGAUAUUUAUCCAUGUGGGAGAAAAGCAGCGCUUCACUGGACAGCUGCGUAAACAGAGGUUGUACUCCAUGGGCUUUUUCUGCAAUUUUAGUGGCUCUUUCAAUUCCUGCAAAAUAUUGUUUUUAAAAAUAUCAAAAUCAUACGUCUUUCCAAAAUGCUUCACUUUUCAAAGAAAACAGACCUCAUGCCAACUCCAUAUAUGUCUAAAACUAUAUAUUGCACAUGUUUUGUUUAUAUAUAUAUGUUUGUUUUCUUUUGUACUUUACUUGUUGACAAUAUUUUAAAGUAUGCAGACACUUAAAGUAAUGAUCAUUUAUUGUAAAGGUACAUUUCUGUAUGUUGUUUCCUGCACUGCCUUUAAGUAGACAAAUUAGUUUGUACAGAUGCAGUGACUUAUUCUAUUACUCUGUUAUCUUUGUGCCCAUUAGAGGAGCGUGCACAGGCAGUAAAGAGCUUGGUCAUCUGAGGACAAGCCCGCUGUAUUAAGGGGUUGCCUCCAUAAGCCUGAACCUUUGGGUGUACGCAGAUGUUCUUUAUGUAAUCCUGUGUGCUGACAACUGGUUGGUGUGCGUCCUGGAUGUACUGGGAUACAGCAAGCGAAUGUGCACUUUAAAUGAUCUAAAUAUUUUAUGUCAUAUGUUCUCACUUCUAUUUUUCCUGGAAAUGCUUGAAGCUGUGUGUUUUUUUAAAUAUAAAGAUGUUUGAGUUGCAUUUCAGGUUAAAUGUGUGAUAAAAAACAAUGUUUAUUAUU